UACUAAUAACGUUAAAAUAAUAACGAUCAGCUUUCGCAAUAUGAAAAAAGUGUCAAAAAAUGUCGCAGCCAGCCGCAAUAACUGAGAGCGCUGUUUUACGAGAGUAUGCUGAUAAAGCUAGAGCGGCACGCAGAGUGCGGCUCGCCUUACGACGUGUUGCCAAUUUAUGCCGCGCGAUAAGCAGAGUUUGUUUAGCCUCAAGCGGAGGUUCAGUUUGAGUCCAAUAACGUUAAGAAUAACGAAAUGCCGAGUGUCAAAUAGAACAGAAUAUCCUCGUGUGCUCCGUGCAAUAUACAUUUAUUAGCCUUGUUACUCCCCGAGCGACCAUUGUAGUGGCCACCAUCUUCAAUUCAUUCGGUACAUGUCUGUUACAUUGUUGAAACCAUUAACUAAAUCUUAUGUCAGUGUGGAACCGAGCUUAGUGAGACCAUAUGUAACAUUUUUAAUAUAUUUGAAAUCUUAGACAAGUAUUAUUAUGAAGUAAAAUAUUUAGUUUAACAUAAA